rnacentral:rRNA from 1 species
UACGGAGGGUGCAAGCGUUAUCCGGAUUCACUGGGUUUAAAGGGUGUGCAGGCGGGUAUUUAAGUCAGUGGUGAAAUCUCCAGGCUCAACCUGGAAACUGCCAUUGAUACUAUUUAUCUUGAAUUCUGUUGAGGUGGGCGGAAUAUAUCAUGUAGCGGUGAAAUGCUUAGAGAUGAUAUAGAACACCGAUUGCGAAGGCAGCUCGCUAAACAGAUAUUGACGCUGAGGCACGAAAGCGUGGGGAGCAAACAGG